UGAUGCAGCGACGCCGCGUGAGGGAUGACGGCCUUCGGGUUGUAAACCUCUUUCAGUAGGGAAGAAGCGAAAGUGACGGUACCUGCAGAAGAAGCGCCGGCUAACUACGUGCCAGCAGCCGCGGUAAUACGUAGGGCGCAAGCGUUAUCCGGAAUUAUUGGGCGUAAAGAGCUCGUAGGCGGUUUGUCGCGUCUGCCGUGAAAGUCCGGGGCUCAACUCCGGAUCUGCGGUGGGUACGGGCAGACUAGAGUGAUGUAGGGGAGACUGGAAUUCCUGGUGUAGCGGUGAAAUGCGCAGAUAUCAGGAGGAACACCGAUGGCGAAGGCAGGUCUCUGGGCAUUAACUGACGCUGAGGAGCGAAAGCAUGGGGAGCGAACAGGAUUAGAUACCCUGGUAGUCCAUGCCGUAAACGUUGGGCACUAGGUGUGGGGGACAUUCCACGUUUUCCGCGCCGUAGCUAACGCAUUAAGUGCCCCGCCUGGGGAGUACGGCCGCAAGGCUAAAACUCAAAGGAAUUGACGGGGGCCCGCACAAGCGGCGGAGCAUGCGGAUUAAUUCGAUGCAACGCGAAGAACCUUACCAAGGCUUGACAUGGGCCGGACCGGGCUGGAAACAGUCCUUCCCCUUUGGGGCCGGUUCACAGGUGGUGCAUGGUUGUCGUCAGCUCGUGUCGUGAGAUGUUGGGUUAAGUCCCGCAACGAGCGCAACCCUCGUUCCAUGUUGCCAGCGCGUAAUGGCGGGGACUCAUGGGAGACUGCCGGGGUCAACUCGGAGGAAGGUGGGGACGACGUCAAAUCAUCAUGCCCCUUAUGUCUUGGGCUUCACGCAUGCUACAAUGGCCGGUACAAAGGGUUGCGAUACUGUGAGGUGGAGCUAAUCCCAAAAAGCCGGUCUCAGUUCGGAUUGGGGUCUGCAACUCGACCCCAUGAAGUCGGAGUCGCUAGUAAUCGCAGAUCAGCAACGCUGCGGUGAAUACGUUCCCGGGCCUUGUACACACCGCCCGUCAAGUCACGAAAGUUGGUAACACCCGAAGCCGGUGGCCUA
rnacentral:rRNA from 1 species